AGGUCCACUUAUCAGCUCUAACAACCAGAGUUUAUCUUCCUGGUGCAUUUAGCAAAUAAUGAAAGUCCGACUGCUCUGCCGUCGGAAGUCCCGAUCCGCACGUACCUCUUCGUCGAUCCAUUCUUUCCCUCUCCGUGACUCCGUGUUCCCUUUUUUUCUCCGCCGCCGCCGCCCGCCCGCCAGCCUACGCCGCCCUCACGCCGGCUCGCGCGCCUGUCUGCAACCCCUACCUCCCGUGGCUGCUGCCUACUGCGCCGCAAACCCUAUCUCCCGCGGCCGCCGCCCAGCCCCCCCGUGCCGUCCGGCUCGUUGCCCAGGUCCCGUCCUCGACGCUUGCGCCGCUGCAGCUACCUUCUAAGUUCCAAUCUCCAGCGCCCUUUUUCGCCGCCGGCGGAGCACCCAGCUGCGACGCCCUUCGUCGCUGCCGAAGCCCCCAGCGCCACACUAAGCCGAUGCCGUGCGAGGGGAAAAUUCUAGGAUAGGAGGAAGGGGAUUGGGGCGAUGUUUAGGCGGGUGCUGCCUGCCUGCAUCCCUUCCGCUACUUCUGCCCCUCGCCACCUCCUUGCUGCCACGCGCGGGCACCAUUGAUGAGAGGAGAGCAGCGCCCUUCGCGGCUGGACCCGAUGUCCGUGUUGGCUGCGGCGCCCGUGGAUCCGCCCGGGGGUGGUGCCGCCUGGGCCAGCCCUACGGUUUGUACGGCGGUGGCAGGGCGAGGAAGAGGAAAGACAUUGUUUUGCCGGAGCCCGGAGGCGGCGGCUGAGGAGAGGCAUGGCGGUGGAGAGGACGGUGGCCAGGCGCAUGGGCUGUCGGUCACGGUGGUGGAGGAGGACAAGGAGGCAGAGGCGGAAGGAGAGCGGUAGUCCAUUGGCGUUGUGUCGGACGACGAGGCGGUGGAGGACGGGGAGGAGGAAGAAGGGCGCGUGCAGGCUCCCAUGCUUUGACGCCCUCGACGAUGGCCUCCCCAUUAAGUAAGCGGUGUUGAUAUUGGAAGCGGCAGGACUUAGCACUCACCAUCGACGGAUAUGUGGGAGAAAGACAGGAUAUACCUCUACUCGAUUUCGUGCAAGGAACCAACAAUUUGAUGUGGAAUCACUCAAAACGUUAGACCACUCGAGACCCAGAAUAUAAUUUUGCAUUUUCAGCACUUGAAUGUUAUCAUCCUUUUCUUUUGGUUCUACAGCUGCACAAUACUAAUUUGGUUUGCGAAAUCUUACCUGUCUCUUAAUCUGCAUCUCAUCACAGUAUAUACUUCUAUAAUUUUUUGUCAUGCAUGAAUGCUUCUUUGAGAAUUUAAACAAACCUGAUCAUUGUGACUUUUUACGAUUGGACUUCAAUUUUUAAAUGCUUGCUUGGAAAUUUAAGAAAUGGUGAUGGGAUCUUAAUGCUACUGAGGUGGGAAUAUAGGAGUGAAAAUUUUCAGUCUAAUAUAUGUAUGUGAACAUCAUUCUUCACCAUCAUGGUCUGAACAGGGUAAGUAGUUAUGUUUUUCCUAAUUGAAACCUGAUCUACAUGUGCUUAGAGUUCAAAUUUUGAGCAAAACUAUAUUUUCUGUCUACAUUGUACCAUGUGCGGGACCACUUUCUUUUAGGAAAAGGUAUGUGGAGAAAAAACUUUUGAUAGCUUGUAUCCUGGUUCUUGAGGAUCUUUAAUUUGAAUCAUGGACGGUGGCAUGCGGCUAAUAAUGGGUAUAGGUCAAUUUCUAAAGGGUGAACUGUGCAUGAUUUGAUAAGGAGCGCAGCAACCACUGCCUCCAAAUGAGCUUCCGGCGGUGCUAAAAUAGUUGAUAGAAUUUGCUAGAACAUCUACGUGCGUUUAGUCCACCGUGCACACUAACUAGUGGUGUUAAAAACAAAUUCACUUCUGAUAAUGGUAUCCGCAGUGAAUCUGCAAGAGCUGAUUUUACUA